rnacentral:rRNA from 1 species
CAGUCGCCACGGGAAUACGUAGGGUGCGAGCGUUAAUCGGAAUUACUGGGCGUAAAGCGUGCGCAGGCGGUUAUAUAAGACAGAUGUGAAAUCUCCGGGCUCAACCUGGGACCUGCAUUUGUGACUGUAUAGCUAGAGUACGGUAGAGGGGGAUGGAAUUCCGCGUGUAGCAGUGAAAUGCGUAGAUAUGCGGAGGAACACCGAUGGCGAAGGCAAUCCCCUGGACCUGUACUGACGCUCAUGCACGAAAGCGUGGGGAGCAAACAGGAUUAGAUACCCCUGUAGUCCCUGUCUCUUAUAC